rnacentral:tRNA from 1 species
UCUUCGAUAGUAUAGUGGUGAGUAUUUCCGCCUGUCACGGAGAAGACCGGGGUUCAAUUCCCCGUCGGGGAG